CGACAGGUGAAAGUGUCACGCCUUCUCUCGGCAGGUGAGUGAUGUAAUGCCGAGCUCUGCAUCCCGCGCGCCGCCGCACACAGAGAGUAGAGUAGAGUAGACUUUAGUUUUCUUCUGCACGUUUCAAGAAACAGGCAUGCACAGUUUGCUGAACGUACCUUCUUCCACGCGGACAUUCUAGGUUUUCCUUGAGCUUGCGGCUACAUGGUGAGGAUGGCAGCGAAGUUUUGAGAGUGCAUGUGCUCUGCAGCUGCGGUGCUCCCUGGAGCUGCUGUAGCGCUUGUCUGCGCCGCUGGAUGGCGGAGUGCAGGACGUCGCACGCUCAGCCGCCAUCAUGGUUAUACAUUUCUGCCGCUGAUAUGUCCGUCGGAAAAGAAGGUAAGAAAGAAGCACUGAAUAAAACUGUAUAUUUAA
rnacentral:lncRNA from 1 species